AUUGAACGCUGGCGGCAUGCCUUACACAUGCAAGUCGAACGGUAGCGGGCCUUCGGGUGCCGAUGAGUGGCGAACGGGUGAGUAAUGUAUCGGAACGUACCUUUCAGUGGGGGAUAACGUAGCGAAAGUUACGCUAAUACCGCAUAUUCUGUGCGCAGGAAAGCAGGGGACCUUCGGGCCUUGCGCUGAUUGAGCGGCCGAUAUCAGAUUAGCUAGUUGGUGAGGUAAAGGCUCACCAAGGCAACGAUCUGUAGAGGGGCUGAGAGGAUGAUCCACCACACUGGAACUGAGACACGGUCCAGGCUCCUAGGGGAGGCAGGAGUGGGGAAUGUUGGACAAUGGGGGCAACCCUGAUCCAGCCAUGCCGCGUGAGUGAAGAAGGCCUUCGGGUUGUAAAGCUCUUUCGGCCGGGAAGAAAUCGUAUCAGCUAAUACCUGGUGCGGAUGACGGUACCGGCAUAAGAAGCACCGGCUAACUGCGUGCCAGCCGCCGCAGUAAUAC
rnacentral:rRNA from 1 species